GGCUUAGAUCAAGGUGGCAAGAUGAUGUAAAAAGUGAGGGAAUUUUUUCCUUAACCUAAGUCUCCUUACUAGAAUUAAUCUACUUGCAAUGUUUUCACUUAGAGGUACUUAGCUGAAGCUGGGCAAGGUGGAGGUCUCGCGCAAUGUGCAAGUCAAAUUCUCAGUCUUGUGUGUGCAACGUGCGAAAAAAAAAGGAAGCAGGAAGAGGACAGCACGAACACCUUUUUCCUCUCUUGGGAGUGGAAGAGCCAGCUCGCUGCAUGACCAUCCUUCCUCAGAUUGUUUCUUCUGGGUAGUUCGUGGUGACAGCAGGCUUUGAGGAGGCCCCUAGUGCACGCAUCCCCGUGGUCCUGCAAGCACCCUCCCUUCUCCAUGUCACUGCCAGCACCACUGCAGGUUCUCAGCAUGCCAGCCCAGCCACACCUCUUGUCCCAAAAACGAGGGUCCUGCAAGAGUUGCUGCAAGAAGAGCUUGAUCAACUCCUUGGGAAGUGCCAUGGCCUUCCUUGUGCUCCACAGUCCUCCACAAAGGACCGACCUGAUCUGACAGGGGUCAGGAGUAUCCAACCCCACAGACGGGCUGAGGAUUUUUAUUCUGUGUCCCCACGAGGAGCUGCUGCACUGAGCUUUCAUCUAGCGGGCUCAAGUGUUUGGGAAGGUGUUGGAAGCUUGUGCCAGGGGAGGCAUUCAGCUUGUGCCAAGCUGUGCGUUUGUGUGGCCGCGCUGGAUCUGCUACCAGGAUCUGCUUUGUGCUGGUGAAACAUGCAGCCCUGGAGAUGUGGGGGGAACUGAAGCCUUUGAGAUCCAGAUGGUAUAAUUUCCUUUCUUUCCCUGAACCUGGCCAAGACCAAGGGCUGGAUGAGAAUCAGCUGGAAGGCAACCUGGCAAGAGGGAUGCAAGGUGUGAGGAGAUGGGCAAGAGGAUCCACUGCCAUGGCCUGACUGUGCCCACCUUUGCCAAUGAGUUUGGCAGUUUUUGAGUAUUUCCAGAAUCUGCUGGCUCUCAGAUUCCCACAUGAUGAACUUUCCAGCCACUGUCUUUCAACACGCUAGCUCAGGCAACAGGCUGAACCCUGAUUUUUCUCAGUUUCACCUUUUGGUUGGCCUAUUGCAAGGUGCUGCCUUAACAGCUGCCUGGGACAA